rnacentral:rRNA from 1 species
UACAGAGGUCUCAAGCGUUGUUCGGAUUCAUUGGGCGUAAAGGGUGCGUAGGCGGCGCGGUAAGUCGGGUGUGAAAUCUCGGGGCUUAACUCCGAAACUGCAUUCGAUACUGCCGUGCUUGAGGACUGGAGAGGAGACUGGAAUUUACGGUGUAGCGGUGAAAUGCGUAGAUAUCGUAAGGAAGACCAGUGGCGAAGGCGGGUCUCUGGACAGUUCCUUGACGCUGAGGCACGAAGGUCAGGGAGCAAACGGG